UACGGGGGGAGCAAGCGUUGUUCGGAUUUACUGGGCGUAAAGGGCGCGUAGGCGGUCGUGACAAGUCACUUGUGAAAUCUCCGGGCUUAACUCGGAACGGUCAAGUGAUACUGUCGGACUAGAGUACAGAAGGGGCAACUGGAAUUCUCGGUGUAGCGGUGAAAUGCGUAGAUAUCGGGAGGAACACCGGUGGCGAAGGCGGUUCUCUGGGCCUUACCUGACGCUGAGGAGCGAAAGCGUGGGGAGCGAACAGGG
rnacentral:rRNA from 1 species